UCCGUAGGCGGUUUAAUAAGUCAGUGGUGAAAUCUGGUCGCUCAACGAUCAAACUGCCAUUGAUACUGUUAGACUUGAAUAAUUGUGAAGUAACUAGAAUAUGUAGUGUAGCGGUGAAAUGCUUAGAUAUUACAUGGAAUACCAAUUGCGAAGGCAGGUUACUAACAAUUGAUUGACGCUGAUGGACGAAAGCGUGGGGAGCGAACAGGAUUAGAUACCCCAGUA
rnacentral:rRNA from 1 species